rnacentral:rRNA from 1 species
UACGUAGGGAGCUAGCGUUGUCCGGAAUCAUUGGGCGUAAAGCGCGCGUAGGCGGCCCGGUAAGUCCGCUGUGAAAGUCAAAGGCCUCAACCUUUGAAUGCCGCUGGAAACUGUCUGGCUAGAGUCCGGGAGGGGCGAGUGGAAUUCCGUGGUGUAGCGGUGAAAUGCGCAGAUAUCAGGAGGAACACCAGCUGGCGAAGGCGGCUCACCUGGGACCGGUAUUGACGCUGAGGUGCGAAAGCGUGGGGAGCAAACAGG